GGGGAAUUACGAGGGAAAGGAGAAGAGAGGGGAGGAAAGGAGAAGGGAGGGGAGGGAAGUGUGAAUGUCUCUUCCCAUUUUUGUUGGCAUAGGUCUGUGGUCCUUCUGUUGUGAACACUUUCCGCGUAGAGUGGCACUGUCAAGCGCAUGGUUUGGAAUUCACAUGCAUGUAGAUCAUUACUGACUGUUUACAGAUCCUGCAUGGAAUGACUUUACACCAAAGGAGAGGAAAUUUUCACGCUCCUGCCCACGUAACCAGCUGCACGUAGCUAGCUCUUCCCACCCCACAAGCCUGACAGCCUCCACCACUGUUU
rnacentral:lncRNA from 1 species